GAUGAACGCUAGCGGGAGGCCUAACACAUGCAAGCCGAGCGGUAUUGUUUCUUCGGACAUGAGAGAGCGGCGUACGGGUGCGUAACACGUGUGCAACCUGCCUUUAUCUGGGGGAUAGCCUUUCGAAAGGAAGAUUAAUACUCCAUAAUAUAUUGAACGGCAUCGUUUAAUAUUUAAAGCUCCGUCGGAUAGAGAUGGGCACGCGCAAGCUUAGCUAGUUGGUGAGGUAACGGCUCACCAAGGCGAUGAUCUUUAGGGGUCCUGAGAGGGUGAUCCCCCACGCUGGGACUGAGACACGGACCAGACGCCUACGGGAGGCAGCAGUGAGGAAUAUUGGUCAAUGGGUGCAAGCCUGAACCAGCCAUCCCGCGUGAAGGACGACUGCCCUAUGGGUUGUAAACUUCUUUUGUAUAGGGAUAAACCUACCCUCGUGAGGGUAGCUGAAGGUACUAUACGAAUAAGCACCGGCUAACUCCGUGCCAGCCGCCGCAGUAA
rnacentral:rRNA from 1 species